rnacentral:rRNA from 1 species
UAACGCGAAGAACCUUACCUAGGCUUGACAUACACCGGAAACUGGCAGAGAUGUCAGCCCCCUUGUGGUCGGUGUACAGGUGGUGCAUGGCUGUCGUCAGCUCGUGUCGUGAGAUGUUGGGUUAAGUCCCGCAACGAGCGCAACCCUUGUUCUGUGUUGCCAGCACGCUCUCUUCGGAGGGUGGUGGGGACUCACAGGAGACUGCCGGGGUCAACUCGGAGGAAGGUGGGGACGACGUCAAGUCAUCAUGCCCCUUAUGUCUUGGGCUGCACACGUGCUACAAUGGCCGGUACAAUGAGCUGCGAUGCCGUGAGGCGGAGCGAAUCCCAAAAAGCCGGUCUCAGUUCGGAUUGGGGUCUGCAACUCGACCCCAUGAAGUCGGAGUUGCUAGUAAUCGCAGAUCAGCAUUGCUGCGGUGAAUACGUUCCCGGGUCUUGUACACACCGA